GUUUAACAAAGCAUGUUCCAAUGUAAUUAAAGCUUUAUGUGUUUGUGGACAUAAUUGAUUUAAUAAUACAAGUAGACAGUAUUUGAAGAAGAAGUUAGAAUGCAGUGUGGUCGUGAAACUGUUUGGCCUUGUCAAUCAAAAAAGUGUAUCAGUUGUGUGUGUGUGUGUGUUUGUGUCAGCUGCUGUCAAUGUCAAAUCAUUAGUAAAUUAUCAGUUUGAUUUUAAUAUGCUUAAUAACUGGGUCUUUAUACUUUUAGAUACCCCGUGGCAAGUCCUACCAUCGCUCUGAGGUGGCUAAGUGGAGGAUGGCGGAGCGACAGUUGGCCUCCAGUGACGCUGGUGCAUCUUGUGGCACAGGGUGGUGCUACAAAGUGCACAAACGGUCAAUUUCUGAGCACACUGGGCGCCAGCAUAAAUUGGUCAUUCCAGUUGAGGUCCCAGGCAAGACGCUUGUUCUUCUUGUAGGGGCGUCCCAUCUGCACUCCCUUGCAGAUGGGAUUGUGCUGAUGCCAGAGGAUUGCUACACCUUUGGCGUCAUGUCCACUCCAGGGGCGUGCGCUGACUAGCUCAGGACUGAGGAUGAAAAUGCUGUUCUUCCUCGGAUCUCUGAUGCUGUCUGUGUCAUGGGACAUAGGAACAACCUGACGGCCAGCAAGACGCCUAAGCAAGGAGGCAUAGCUUUUGGCCAAUACUUGGCCACUGUCUGCAGCGUCUGGCCGACUGCACAGGUCUUCGCUGGGACCUUGUCCCACGCUUGACAGUCCCGGGGGAUAUCCAAGAGUUUUUCCGGCAGGAAUUUCACCGCGUGUCAACAUGUCUCGGUGUGAAAUAUUUUCACCACGCUGACCGCUUCCCCCUGAACAACCGCAAGCUGUGGUGCUGUGAUGGUGUGCACCCCAGUGACGACAUGGGGAUGCCUAUCCUCGUGGAGUCGCUGUUGGCUGUCACCAAACAGCACCUGGAGAUACCAGCACCUAAGCCACAGGUGUUGUGCCCGGAGUCUCCCAAGCCUCUGCCAAAGGUGGUUCCACGUGUGAUUGUGGUGGAGGAGGUCGUAGUUCCACGGGCCCCCCCUCCUGAGUGGACGUCUGUACAGUCGGGCAGGAAGAGGAACCACUCUGAACAUGAGCAUGGCUCUGGUUCAUCACAGAGACGAGUGGUUCAUCAUGUGGUAUGUUUAACCAUGAUAUUUACAUAACAGUUUGUGUGCUUUAUCUAAGAAAAUGACAAGUGUUAGAAAUAAUCUACAUGUCUGUCAGGUGGAUGGAGCUCCAGUGGCCUUGCGAGAGUGUUUCAUUCAUAUUGUAUAUGGAUUACGCUCGUGUAAUAUCACAUAGGAUUACGCUUGCGCGGGUCCUAGUCCUUUUUUUUUUGUUAACAAACUGGUCUUUUUGUGUGUGUUGGGGUAGUUCCUCGGGGGUAGUCUAGCUGUUCUUAAGUGCAUUCACAAGACACCCGAAGAAGCCCAUAGAGAUACUGUUUGUGUGUCACAGAGGAUUGUCAGGUGUCUGGUUAUGACAAGUUCGAAGAGACAACUCCGUAGUUCUGGUUGGAGGAGGGUUCCUUGGGGGUAGUCUAGCUGUUCUUUUAAGUGCAUUCAAUGGCACAAGACAUGUUCCUGAUCAAAUAUGUAAUGUAAUUAAUGUAUGUAAUAAUUUGCAAUAAAAUUGUAUGAUAUUUUACA